rnacentral:tmRNA from 1 species
GGGCCGAAAUAGGAUCGACGAACGACCAAAGAGGCCAGCUUUCGCUCGGUGAGGUACCACCGUUAUCGGUCCAUGAUCACAGUUGCCAACGACAACCGUGCUCCGGUGGCGCUGGCCGCGUAAGCGGCUCGCAAUACCAAAACCAAGCCCUUGCGGUUAGCACCGUAAGGCGGGGUUCGCAGGUACCUGGCAACAGAAACCUGCACC